rnacentral:rRNA from 1 species
UACGUAGGGGGCUAGCGUUGUCCGGAAUCAUUGGGCGUAAAGCGCGUGUAGGCGGCCCGGUAAGUCCGCUGUGAAAGCCGAGGGCUCAACUCGGAUGCCGGUGGAUACUGUCGGGCUAGAGUACGGAAGAGGCGAGUGGAAUUCCUGGUGUAGCGGUGAAAAUGCGCAGAUAUCAGGAGGAACACCGAUUGCGAAGGCAGCUCGUGGGGACUUUACUG